rnacentral:snRNA from 1 species
GUGCUUGCUUUGGCAGCACGUAUACUAAAACUGGAAUAUUAGAGAGAAAAUUAGUAUUAGCCCUGUGCAAGGAUUUCACGCAAAUUNGUGAAGCNUCCAUACUUAAA